GAUGAACGCUGGCGGCGUGCCUAAUACAUGCAAGUCGAGCGAAGCGGGGACGGGUGAGUAACACGUGGGUAACCUCCUAUACGUCUGGGAUAACUUCGGGAAACAGGGGCUAAACCGGAUACUUAUAGGUGGAUCGGCGAUGCAUUAGCUAGUUGUUAAGUUGACGGCUUACCAAGGCAACGAUGCAUGGCCGACCUGAGAGGAGGAUCGGGCACACGGCAACUGAGACACGGUCCAGACUCCUACGGGAGGCAGCGGUAGGGAAUCUGCCGAAAUGGGAGAAGGGGUGACGGAGCAACGCCGCGUGAGUGAGGGGGGUAUGCGGAUCGUAGGACUCUGUUAUUAUUGAAGCGGUAUCUAAUCAGAAAGCCACGGCUAACUACGUGCCAGCAGCCGCGGUAAUAC
rnacentral:rRNA from 1 species